GACCGCGGAUCGAUGGCAGUUUAGAACUGGUCUCUCUUUCGGCGUGCGGAUAAUGUGUCUGCUAAUUUUCGUAGUUUCACCUAUUCUAAAGCUAGAUGACUGUCGCGCUAGACCAGUACCGUUUGCGGCGGAUAGGCGUGUAAUACCGGCUUUACAGUAUAGCUUGCUACCAGAGUUUAUGCGGACUUUGCAAAUGUAAGCAUUUAUGGUAUUUCUCUUCAACACUGCUUUUAACAUCGUCUGGAUUGUAUCUACGUAUGCAGAGAAACGGGCUGGUGAUCAGACGCAGUACUGAGGUACGAAAAAGGAGACAGAACUGGAUACGGUACUGAGAGAGAACCUGAUGUUGACACAAAGCCGGAUGCUGUACCCCAGUGAUGAGCCCUUAUGUGAUCCAGGUGUAAGUGUUUGUGAUCGGUACCCAUUUACUUCGUCUGUGAAAGUAGUUGGAAACCCCCAAUUUGUUGUAAGAACAAUGUUAAGUUUAGAGAUGACCCCCAAAUCGCCGUGUAAGGUGUAGGAAAGGACACCAUUCGUAGUGCCAGAGUUAUAUAUCGGUGAACUUUUGGACGCUACUUAAGCGACGAAAUAAAUUAUUGUUUUUGGUUAAAUAUUAUGUGUAAAAUGUAAAGUUUGAUUAGAAAAGAGGUUAUUGUUUCAAGAACUUAUGUAAAUUUUCCCUUUUAUGAAUGUUUUGAAAAUUUAAUUUGAGAUAAAAUGUUGUAGCAUUGGAGUGUGGGAGAAAAGAGUUGAAAAUUUUUUGUAUAAGAAUUUACUUUAUUUUUUCUUUAUUAGAAAUCCACUGAAAAAGGACCAAAUGUGAAACUUGUAUAUUGUCGAAGAGUAAUGACUGUAAAUCGCAUAACAACUCAGGUCGGACAUGAGUACGUUCCUGGCUGCCUUGUGUGUGUAUUGGGUUGUAUGAACUGUGAGCUGAGGACAGUGAUAUUAUUCAUUAAUUAAAUACGGGCUGUUGGCAAGUGUUUAAUUGUGAACCUAAAGAAAUAAAAGCACUUGUUGCAGAA